CCUACGGGAGGCUGCAGUGGGGAAUAUUGCACAAUGGGGGGAACCCUGAUGCAGCGACGCCGCGUGGGUGAAGGAGUAUUUCGGUAUGUAAAGCCCUAUCAGCAGGGAAGAACAAUGACGGUACCUGACUAAGAAGCACCGGCUAAAUACGUGCCAGCAGCCGCGGUAAUACGUAUGGUGCAAGCGUUAUCCGGAUUUACUGGGUGUAAAGGGAGCGCAGGCGGCGCGGUAAGCCUGGUGUGAAAGCCCGCGGCCCAACCGCGGGACUGCAUUGGGAACUGGCGCGCUGGAGUGCCGGAGGGGUAGGCGGAAUUCCUAGUGUAGCGGUGAAAUGCGUAGAUAUUAGGAGGAACACCAGUGGCGAAGGCGGCUUACUGGACUGUAACUGACGUUGAGGCUCGAAAGCGUGGGGAGCAAACAGGAUUAGAUACCCCAGUAGUC
rnacentral:rRNA from 1 species